GGGAUACACCUUGGAAACAGGUGCUAAUACCGGAUAACAACAAUAGCUGCAUGGCUAUUGCUUAAAAGGCGGCGAAAGCUGUCGCUAAAGGAUGGACCCGCGGUGCAUUAGCUAGUUGGUAAGGUAAUGGCUUACCAAGGCGACGAUGCAUAGCCGAGUUGAGAGACUGAUCGGCCACAUUGGGACUGAGACACGGCCCAAACUCCUACGGGAGGCAGCAGUAGGGAAUCUUCCACAAUGGGCGAAAGCCUGAUGGAGCAACGCCGCGUGAGUGAAGAAGGUUUUCGGAUCGUAAAGCUCUGUUGUUGGUGAAGAAGGAUAGAGGUAGUAACUGGCCCCUAUUUGACGGUAAUCAACCAGAAAGUCACGGCUAACUACGUGCCAGCAGCCGCGGUAAUACGUAGGUGGCAAGCGUUGUCCGGAUUUAUUGGGCGUAAAGCGAGCGCAGGCGGAAAGAUAAGUCUGAUGUGAAAGCCCCCGGCUUAACCGAGGAAUUGCAUCGGAAACUGUGUUUCUUGAGUGCAGAAGAGGAGAGUGGAACUCCAUGUGUAGCGGUGGAAUGCGUAGAUAUAUGGAAGAACACCAGUGGCGAAGGCGGCUCUCUGGUCUGUAACUGACGCUGAGGCUCGAAAGCAUGGGUAGCGAACAGGAUUAGAUACCCUGGUAGUCCAUGCCGUAAACGAUGAGUGAUAAGUGUUGGGA
rnacentral:rRNA from 1 species